GAGUGAAAUCCUGUAAUCUAUAGGACCACCAGUGGUGAAGACGUCUGGUUAGAAUAGGUCCGACGGUGAGGGACGAAGGGCUGGGGGCGCAAACCGGAUUAGAUACCCGGGUAGUCCCAGCAGUAAACGAUGCCAGCUAUGUGUUGCUGGAACCAUGGGUUCCAGCAGUGCCGAAGGGAAGCCGUGAAGCUGGCCACCUGGGAAGUACGGUCGCAAGGCUGAAACUUAAAGGAAUUGGCGGGGGAGUACCACAACCGGUGGAGCCUGCGGUUUAAUUGGAUACAACGCCGGGAAUCUUACCGGAGGGGACAGCAGUAUGAAUGCCAGCUAAAGACCUUGCCAGAUCAGCUGAGAGGAGGUGCAUGGCCGUCGCCAGUUCGUACCGUGAGGCAUCCUGUUUAGUCAGGCAACGAUCGAGACCCGCAGUCUUAUUUGCCAGCAUGCCCUUUGGGGUGUAUGGGUACAAUAAGGACGACCGCCAGCGCUAAGCUGGAGGAAGGAGCGGGCUACGGUAGGUCAGCAUGCCCCGAAUCCUCGGGAUACACGCGGGCUAC
rnacentral:rRNA from 1 species